GGUCCUGUAGCUCAGCGGGAGAGCGUCCGCCUCACACGCGGAAGGUCGCUGGUUCGAUCCCAGUCGGGACCA
rfam:Mycobacterium celatum strain DSM 44243 contig_52, whole genome shotgun sequence.